CGAAUCUGGGUUUUGCUCCUGUGCGCUCUGAAUCAAUGAGUGAUUCAAUUUAUCCUCGCCUUGAAUAUGAUCAGGCUCGCUUCGCGACAAACUCCAAGACAAGAUGAGUGUCAGACUGCCUAGCCCGGCCGAUACUACCGCAACCUUUCUAUUCAUGGUUUGCUCCCGCCAGAAUCGCCGAAUGCUGGCGGCUUUGAUGCUGAAGCGUCUUGCCGGGUUGGUCAGUGUGACUGUCGUUGCCCUGCACUGCCAACAACUUGAUGUAUUGGUGGUUAGCGUCUUUUACCGUUAGAUUGUGAUAGUUAUCCAAGUCGGGAAACUGCCGAAGCUGCAGCGAUUGAGCGAUUUCCUCGGAG
rnacentral:misc_RNA from 1 species